CUUAUCACAGAGAUAGAAUCUCGUACCCACACACCCACAGCCCCCAUGGAGCUAGCCUCACCUCUCCUACCUCAUCAACAAUGAGACUGAAUGCUUGUGGUCUUCGGAGACUGGAAAGUUCAGUACAAGAUGCAGGGAAUACAAAGGGAUUUAUUUCAAGACUCCUAUUAAUAGCCUGCAAUGCCAAGAACUGUGAUCUCUACCCUGGAUUUCAAGAACCUUCUGAGCAGAGUGGCAGAAACCCAUUGGAUCCCCCCCACCCACCAAUACAAAUGGCAUUGCAAGGACUGGGGCUGUAGCUCAGUGGCAGAGCACUUGCUUAGCACAUGUGAGGCAUUGGGUUUGAUCUUCAGCACCACAUAAAA